GGGCCAUACCUACAAUGCUUAAUUAAACCAUGCAUAUAACUAACUUGAUAUAUAGAUAAAUAUAAUAAUAAAUAAUAAUAGCAAAAAAUACAUAAAUGGUAAUGAAUAGAAUUGCAUUGCAUACCAUUAUUGUAAGAAAAUAUUCAAUAAAGAAUAUAGAUCUACUCAUCAAUAUUCGUAUCCUCCUCGAUUUGUAGGUCCUCCUUCAAUUAUAAUAAUCAACUAAUGUAUCAUCUCUAUCUCAUCAUCAUUUAUGAACCAAUCGUUGCCCUCCGAAUCAUCAAAGAUUAAAUAUAAAAUUAGCUUCAACUUCGGAGGGCGGCAGAUCAGCCCUAUUCAAAGGAGUUGUCAUAAAUUCUUCGUCAACAAGGAGCUCGAUCAAUGUUUGUUCUUCCUCUUGAAAAUCUUCCUCUUCAUGUAGAUCUAAAUUUUCAUUCAUUUCUAG
rnacentral:lncRNA from 1 species